rnacentral:lncRNA from 1 species
UGUGCUCCUCCAUGGGACGUGGAUUUUGUCUAACCGUUUGCGCGUGCAUCGCAUAUCCUGACCAUCCAUCAAGCUUGCAGAUCAAAUCAAUACAUCAAUCAGGCAUGCAUGCAAGCAGUAGGGCCUAUGGUCUAGUAGUAGAGAAUAUCACUUGCCUUUUAGCUGUAUGUACUACUACUAAAUAGCUACUAGUAGUUGCACUAUGUUUGCUAGAAAAACUUUUAAAUGUUUUUUUGCAAAUUUAAAUUCGUUUAUGUAUUUGAGUUUAUCACGGUUAGCUCUACGAAAUAAGUCCAAUAUCAAUAUAUUUCCAACAAAGUUCCAUAUUUUUUUUAUAAAAGUUCAGACAAGCUGUUUACAAAAUUCAUUGGUUCCAAAUACAUUUUCUAGAAAGUUCUUCAGUAUUUCUAACAAAGUGCAAACCCAGUAUCCAAAAAGUCCUUCAAUUCCUGAUUCUGUUUAUUUAGAACUAUACAAUAAAAAUGAGAAGCUCUUCAUUGUUUCUAGCAAAGUUCCUCACUAACAACAAAGCUACUAUAAAAUCAUAUUUCAAUUUGAGCUAACAAAAAUGUUUUUAUAAUUUAUACAAUACUGAUCUUGUUCUAAAGACCUUAGCGCCGUGAGUUCAAAUAUAUAAAGAGUUUUAAAAAUAAAAAAAAUUAUUUUAAAGAUAUGAAUCAUCUAAACUAUCAAAAGAAAAAUAAAAGUAACUAUGAUUGAGGAGAGAGAAAAGAUGCUCUAGACAUGCAUGUGUCAAUCAGCAGAAAAAGACUAGAAGAAGGGGCAUGCACAUGCAAAAGGAUUGGAUCCAUAUGAAAUAGCAACGGUUGAGAUACUAGUUACGCGCACAACCAGUUAGACAACGCCUUAUUCGUC